GACUAAAACGCGACCAAAUUAAAAUAUUCGGGCCCAAUUGUAAAUAACAAAACUCGAAAGGGCCCAAUUGUAGACGCCUCAAAAGCGAAAGGACUGAGGGUGCAAAUAGACCCUCAGUCCAAAAACACGCAAAUCCUAGGCCCUGGGUCGGGUCAAAAUCGGGUCGGCCCCAAAACGAUUGGGGCCAUUUUGAAGGCCAUGAAACGACGUCGCUUCACCUAAGUAUAAAAGGCAAAAAACUUUGAAAAAAUUCAUUUCUCUCUGGUUUUUAAAAAAACUAACCCCCUAUUUCUUUGUUUUUCUCUCUGCAGGUGCUGGAAUUCCAGCGAGGGCUCCAGCCUGCCACCUCCGCCGUCGCCGGCAGCCGUGUACGGCGGCCGAAAAAAGGUAUUUUUUAUUUUUUAUUUUUUUUAAAAAGUAUGUAUACGUAUAUGUUAAAAAAAUGAAUAAAUAAAUAUAGUUAACAAAACGGAAAAAAGAAAUAGACCUUAGAAAAUAAGGUUUUUGCUUGGUUGCCCGGAUUGUUUGGACUGUUUCAGUGUGUUCUCUUGCACUGUUUUAGUAUUCAAAAUACUGAUUUUGUAUUCUCUAUUCAUAGACAAAAAAAAAGAGGUCCUCUUUACAGUGUUUUUCGAGGGCUUUUAUAGCCCUUUUUACAAAUGUUUUGCUACUGUACGUUUGUAGGUAUGGCGAGGAUCACGGAGCCCGUGGGUUGCGCGAAUAACGGCGUACGAUGCGGAGGUGGGUAGCAGUGUGUGGGAGGGGGGCUGCUUCGGGUGUGCAGCGCUGGAGAGAUGUUGCUGCUAGGGUUUUUUCAUUAGGUUUAGGUGGGUUUUGGGGUAUUGGGUUAUUGGGUGUAUUGGGCUUAGAGCUUGAGUUAGGUUUAAUUAGUUAAUUGUUUUGGGUUUUAAAUGUAUUGGGCCCUGGGCAUAAAUUGGGCUUAACAAUUAUUUAUAGAAGGUUAAAAAGAAUGAUUUGAUGCUAAUUAAAUAUUCAAUCAAAACAAAACCGUAUAAAAUUAGAAAACAAUAUUAAGGAACAAAAAAUUAC
rnacentral:lncRNA from 1 species